GACGUAGGAUGCAAGCGUUGUCCGGAAUUAUUGGGCGUAAAGAGUUCGUAGGCGGUUAUCUAAGUCUGGUGUUAAAGACGGGAGCUCAACUCCCGCAUGGCAUUGGAAACUGGGUGACUAGAGUGCGGUAGAGGUAUCGGGAAUUCCAGGUGUAGCGGUGAAAUGCGUAGAUAUCUGGAGGAACACCAGUGGCGAAAGCGCGAUACUGGGCCGUAACUGACGCUGAGGAACGAAAGCCAGGGGAGCAAAA
rnacentral:rRNA from 1 species